rnacentral:SRP_RNA from 1 species
GCCGGGCAUGGUGGCUCAUGCCUGUAAUCCCAGCACUUUGGGAGGCUGAGGUGGGCGGAUCACCUGAGGUCAGGAGUUCGAGACCAGCCUGGCCAACAUGGUGAAACCCCAUCUCUA